rnacentral:rRNA from 1 species
UACGUAGAGUGCGAGCGUUGUCCGGAAUUAUUGGGCGUAAAGAGCUUGUAGGCGGUUUGUCGCGUCUGCUGUGAAAAUCCGGGGCUCAACCCCGGACUUGCAGUGGGUACGGGCAGACUAGAGUGUGGUAGGGGAGACUGGAAUUCCUGGUGUAGCGGUGGAAUGCGCAGAUAUCAGGAGGAACACCGAUGGCGAAGGCAGGUCUCUGGGCCACUACUGACGCUGAGAAGCGAAAGCAUGGGGAGCGAACAGG